AUGGGUUCAUAAUGAUCGGGUCCAGUAUGAACCGCAGCAAUGGAGAAAAGCUGGCAGCUGCGGAGCUGUCAUUGACGAGGAUGCGAGAUAGUGGAGUCAGUGAAUACAUAGUCUCAUUAUUGUCGGUGUUGUUAUUCUCAGUAGAGAAGAAUCCGGCGUGGGUGAGGAGGCGCAUGAGGCGUUGUAGUUGAGGAAAUUUUGCAAUGGGG
rnacentral:misc_RNA from 1 species